rnacentral:lncRNA from 1 species
GUGUCAUCCUAUGCACAGUGACUGUUCCCAGCUCAUUUUAAGGGACUAAGGCACCUAGAGAGUUGAUCUGGUUUGGCUGUGUCCUCACCCACAUCUCAUGUUGAAUUGUAGUCCCACAGUUUCCACGUGUUGUGGGAGGGACCUGGUGGGAGAUAAUUGAAUCAUAGGGGCCAUUUCCCCCAUGCUGUUCUCAUUGAGUAAGUUUCAUGAGGUCUGAUGGUUUUAUAAGGGGAAAGCCCUUUCACUUGCUUCUCAUUCUGUCUUGCCUGCCACCAUGUAAGAUGUGCCUUUCACCUUCUGCAUGAUUGUGAGGCCUCCCUAGCCGCAUGGAACUGCGAGUCCAUUAAAUCCCUUUUUCUUUUUGUUUUAUUUUAUUAUUUUUUAUGGUACUUUAAGUCCUGGGAUACAUGUGCAGAAUGUGCAGGUUUGUUACAUAGGCAUACACGUGCCAUGGUGGUUUGCUGUACCCAUCAGCCCAUCAUCUAGGUUUUAAGCCCCACAUGUAUUACGUAUUUCUCCUAAUGCUCUCCCUCCCCUUGUCCCCCAACAGGCCCCAGUGUGUGAUGUUCCCCCCUCCCUGUGUCCCUAUGUUCUCACUGUUCAACUCCCACUUAUGAGUGAGAACAUGUGAAACCUCUUUUUGUUUAUAAAUUACCCAGUCUCGGGUAUGUCUUUUUCAGCAGUGUGAAAACAGACUGAUACAAUAGUAGAAUAGCAUUAAUGUCAAAGAAGACACUUCCAUUAUGAAAAAGGUAUAAAAGGGACAAUAAUCAAAGACAAAGUAUAGAACACAUUUUUGUGGAAAAUCACAAAAGUCUCAGACAAAAUUAAAUAAGGCCUGACAUUUUGUAGAGAUGUAGUCUAUGUGUGAACUGCACAUUUAUUUUUAUUUUAUUUUAUUUUAUUUUGAGACGGAGUCUUGCUCUGUUUCCCAGGCUGGAGUGCAAUGGCAUGAUCUCAGCUCACUGCAACCUCUGCCUCCUGGCUUCAAGCAACUCUCCUGCCUCAGCUUCCCGAGUAGCUGGGAUUACAGGUGCCCACCACCACGUCUGCCUGAUUGUGUUUUUAGUAGAGAUGGGGUUUCACUGUGUUGGCCAGGCUGGUCUCAAACCCCUGACCUCAGGUGAUCUGACUGCCUCAGCCUCCCAAAAUGCUGGGAUUACAGGCGUGAGCCGCUGCGCCUGGCCAUAUAUAUAUAUAUAUAUAUAUAUAUAUAUAUAUAUAUAUAUAUAAUUUUUUUAAAGACAUUGACUCCCUUCAAGAUAAAUGAGAAAAUCAGUAAAAUUCUAAUAGAGGGAAAUUAAUUCAAUUCUAGUAAAAAUCCCAUCUUUUCUUUUUCUUUGUUUUUCUCUCCCUCUCUCCUUUCCUCCUUUCCUUUGGUCCUUUUUUUCUUCUUCCUUUAUUUUUAAUUUUUCUUUUUUGAUAAGAAGCAUUGAACUAACUACUGCAUUUAAAAUGGGACAGAAGUCAGGCGUGGUAGCUCACGCCUGUAAUCCCAGCACUUUGGGAGGCCAAGGCAGCUGGAUCACCUCAGGUCAGGAGUUCGAGACCAGCCUGGCCAACAUGGAGAAACCCUGUCUCUACUAAAAAUACAAAAAUUAGCUGGGAGUGGUGGUGCAUGCCUGUAAUCCCAGCUACUCAGAAGGCUGAGGCAGGAGAAUCGCUUGAACCUGGGAGGCAGAGGCUGCAGUGAGCCAAGAUCGCACCACUGCACUCCAGCCUAGGUGACAGAGGGAGACUCUGUCUCAAAAAUAAAAUAUAAAAUAAAAUAAAAUAAAAUAAAAUAAAAUAAAAUAAAAUAGGACAGAUUGAGACUGGAAACAGAAUUGUGUACCAUAGCUUAAUAAAAGAAAGAAGUAGAAUUGUCACUUAGAUGUUUGAAUAAAUGGUGCUGGUUAUUCUCAGUGUAAAAAAUGAAAUUUGAUCCCAAUUUCCACCAUAUACAAAAAUUAAUUCAACUUGGAUUAAAGGCUAAGAUGUGAAAGAUAAAGUCACAAGUUUUGUAAGUCAAUACAGGAAAAUAUUUUAAUGCCUGUGGGAUGGGGAGAGAUUUCUUAAACAAGA